rnacentral:rRNA from 1 species
CAGCAGCCGCGGUAAUACGAAGGGGGCUAGCGUUGUUCGGAAUCACUGGGCGUAAAGCGCGCGUAGGCGGACUUUUAAGUCAGGGGUGAAAUCCCAAGGCUCAACCUUGGAACUGCCUUUGAUACUGGAAGUCUUGAGUUCGGGAGAGGUGAGUGGAACUGCGAGUGUAGAGGUGAAAUUCGUAGAUAUUCGCAAGAACACCAGUGGCGAAGGCGGCUCACUGGCCCGAUACUGACGCUGAGGUGCGAAAGCGUGGGGAGCAAACAGGAUUAGAUACCCGCGUAGUCCCUGUCUCUUAUAA